rnacentral:rRNA from 1 species
CCUACGGGUGGCAGCAGUGGGGAAUAUUGCGCAAUGGGGGAAACCCUGACGCAGCAACGCCGCGUGCGGGAUGAAGGCUUUCGGGUUGUAAACCGCUUUCAGCAGGGAAGAUAAUGACGGUACCUGCAGAAGAAGCCCCGGCUAACUACGUGCCAGCAGCCGCGGUAAUACGUAGGGGGCAAGCGUUAUCCGGAUUCAUUGGGCGUAAAGCGCGCGCAGGCGGGCCGCUAAGCGGGACCUCUAAUCUUGGGGCUCAACCUCAAGCCGGGUCCCGAACUGGCAGCCUUGAGUUCACAACAGGCAGGCGGAAUUCGUGGUGUAGCGGUGAAAUGCAUAGAUAUCACGAGGAACCCCGAGUGCGAAGGCAGCCUGCCGGGGUGCGACUGACGCUGAGGCUCGAAGGUGCGGGUAUCAAACAGGAUUAGAUACCCGUGUAGUC